UCGAAUCGAAUCAACUAGGUUUUCGGUUGGUUCAAUCAUUUCAACCACGAUGAACCAAAUUAGCAGAAGUAGUGAAAUCAACCACGGUUCAAACUGGUUGAAUCUGGUUCCACUUGGUUUGAUCAACUAUAAAAAUUAAGGAUCAAUCCGUCAUGGUUAAACCAACCGGAAGAUUUUCCAAUUUCUGGUUAAACCGGUUGAACCGACUGAUCCAGUUCUGUUUUGACAACAUUGCAAGGUAACAGUUGCCUCUACUAGAAAUGAUUGUAAACAUAGAAUAGAAAACAUAUCAAGUAGUUGUAUUUCCUUUAUCUUGAACAACAAAUAUGAAUGAAUCAAUGAAUUUUAUUAUGAGAUACAAUUUUCAAGUAACUUUUUCUCGAGUCCAGCUUUGACACAUAUUAUAGAUAUAUCAUCAUUCUUACAUGCUAUGUUAUUUGACACAAAUAUGACAGAUUACCAAGGAAUUUCUUGACCAUCCCAACCAAAGAACUUGCC
rnacentral:lncRNA from 1 species